UGGCGAACGGGUGAUUAACGCGUGGGUAACCUGCCUCAUACAGGGGGAUAACAGUUGGAAACGGCUGCUAAUACCGCAUAAGCGCACAGUACCGCAUGGUACCGUGUGAAAAACUCCGGUGGUAUGAGAUGGACCCGCGUCUGAUUAGCUAGUUGGUGGGGUAACGGCCUACCAAGGCGACGAUCAGUAGCCGACCUGAGAGGGUGACCGGCCACAUUGGGACUGAGACACGGCCCAA
rnacentral:rRNA from 1 species